rnacentral:rRNA from 1 species
UGGGGAAUAUUGCACAAUGGAGGGAACUCUGAUGCAGCGACGCCGCGUGAACGAAGAAGGCUUUCGAGUCGUAAAGUUCUUUUAUAUGGGAAGAUAAUGACGGUACCAUAAGAAAAAGCCCCGGCUAACUACGUGCCAGCAGCCGCGGUAAUACGUAGGGGGCUAGCGUUGUCCGGAAUCACUGGGCGUAAAGGGUUCGCAGGCGGAAAUGCAAGUCAGGUGUAAAAGGCAGUAGCUUAACUACUGUAAGCAUUUGAAACUGCAUAUCUUGAGAAGAGUAGAGGUAAGUGGAAUUUUUAGUGUAGCGGUGAAAUGCGUAGAUAUUAAAAAGAAUACCGGUGGCGAAGGCGACUUUCUGGACUUGAACUGACGCUGAGGCACGAAAGCGUGGGGAGCAAACAGG